CGCACGUCAGAGCCACGUAGUUCCGAGUUGCCAUGGCAACAGCCAUUGACGUCAUGAUAUCCUUUGAUGUUGGAAUCUACAUAUAGGCCUCAUACCUUCUCUGGACUUCUGGAGAGCUGCACGCUUUCUGCUCAGUCCUGCGUCAAUUGAUAACCUUUGACCACUGACAAUACAACGCUCUUUUCAAGUUUUAUUGUGUACACAGAAGUAUUUUACCCAACAUUAAAUCAAACAGGAGAAAUGGCGCAAACGAAUCUGACGAUUUCCAACCAGGAGCCAGCAGGGUCAUCUGAACAGUUCAACGCAGAACAUAUGAGCCUGAGCGAAAUCUGCAAAGAUCUUAAGUCUAUGCGCAUGAAAAUUCACUUGAGCAGAAUACACGUUGAAGGAUGGGGAUCUUUGAAGGUUAAAGAUGAUAAAUAUGAGAAUCACAGGCAGGAGGAAGCCAUUGCUAGGAGAAAAUGUGAAACCCUUCAAAAAGAGGCAAAGAGUCUCCUUGAUCAGGUCAAAAAUCAUAAACAUUUUGAAUCAAUCUACAGCGGCCAAAAAGAACUAAACAAACAUUUGUCUUCUAGACAUCAAAGGCUGGAAGUAGAGGUGGAAUUGCAGCGGAAAAGGUUGGAGCACUUAAAACAUGUGGAGUCAAACGCUGCAUCCAUAACAAAGGAGAAUGAGGAGUAUGACCAAAAAAUUCACCUCCUGGAGACCACACUGCAAAAGGUAACCAAUGAAUGUAACCUUUUAUCUGAGGCCAAUAAACGAGACGCCCAUCAGCUUGAUAUGAAGAAGACUUUGGUGAAGAACUUGGCCUCCGAAACAGCUUCGACUCACUUGGAUUACGAAAGUCUGCAAUAUAAGAAUAAGGAACUGAUUGCAGAGACACAGGAGUUAGAAAUACAGGUUUCGGCUCUGCAAGAUGAGAAAAGCGAAAUAAACCUGAAACUUGUAAACCAACGCCGUCAAAAUGAGGACGCAAUGCACCGUAGGGACGCUUUGGAGAGAACAACCAAUAAUUUAAAACAGCAAAUCCAGGGCUUCAAUGAAGAACUCACGUCCAUAGAAUCUUUGGCAUCGCAACUGAAAUGCCAGGUGACUGUUCUGGAGGAGCAGCGGCGACAGUUGAUUAAGGUCAGCACGGAGGCCACCAACAAGCUACUCCGUGAAAAAGACUGGAAGGCUGGCUAUGACGCACAGAGGGAAUACAAAAACGCCCUGGAGCUGAGGAACAAUGAAUGGAAAGAGAAUAUCCUCAGUCUAAUGAACAGUCUCAAAGAUCUUGACGCCUGUAAGGCAAACUACGAAUCAUUGAAGACUGAUAAAAAAGUUGCAACCAGACUGAAUAAAACUCUCAAAAAGCAACACAAGACCCUGGAAAACAAGAUCUCAAAAGAGCGGAAGUAUGUGGAAAAAAACAACGGAAAAAAGUCAGAAAGCAAAACCCUGAUUGGUGGAAACUGCACUCUUCAGUGUCAGGUUGAGGAACUGCAGAGAAACCUUCCGAGAUUGCAAGCUUUGACUCGAGAGACCGCUAGAGAAGCACCUCUGAUGGAGCGCAACGAGGCAAUAAGGUCAGAGAACGAGAUCAAUUACAGACAAUUGGACUUUCUCCCGGGGCAAGUACCCUCCACAUCGCAUGUAGAAAGGGUAAACCAGAAAAAGUGUUGGUUUGAACCCUCGCCGGUCCCGAACCAGACACCCUUACCACCCUUAGGGCUGGCCCAUGCUUCUGCGUCUGAGUCUGCGUGGUCGCGUCAAUGCGCUCGUUUCAAAUCAUGGUUCUAAAAGGCUGGCGUGUGUUGCAGAGCAGUUCACCGCGAGAACAACAGGUGGAGUAACGUGUUUUGGUUGAAGACGACCUAGAGAGUCACGUCUUUGUGUGGAAAACGGACUACGGAUAAUACGACAUAGUAGACGGAGGCAAGGAUACACAGUCCAUACAAUUAUUUAAUAUUUAAUUUCAAGAGAACAGUCAUUGUACAAACUACCUGCUCAAUGUGCAACACUCUUCAGCGUCAGGUUGAGGAACUGCAGAGCAACCUUCAGAGAUUGCAAGCUUUGACUCGUAUCUACAACUCCCCUGUAUCGGAUAAAAAACGCUUACAAUCAUAACGACGGCCUUUUGAGAGAACAGCUCCAUAUAGAGGCCGCUAGACAACGUCUUUGUGUGUGGAAUUCAUUGUUUUGGUUGUUUAUUUAUCAUAGACUUUAUUGUCCCUUCUUCCGGGAGACUUUGUCAACUACUUCACCAAGAAAAUAGCUGACAUACGCUCCUCCUUCUCAAACCCACCUCCUACUUCUCGCGUCCCACCGACCUCACCUCUUUCGCCCUCUCUCCUAACCAAAUUCUUACCCUAGUAACCUCUGCCCGUCCGACCACCUGCCCUCUUGACCCCAUUCCAUCACAUCUUCCACAAUCUAUUGCACCUGACAUUCUUCCGUUCCUCACCUGUCUCAUCAACAACAACGCUCUGAUAUCUGGCUGUUUUCCCAAUUCUCUGAAGGAGGCAAGAGUCAACCCUCUCCUGAAGAAACCCACCCUCAACCCUUCUGAAGAAAACAACUACAGACCGGUCUCUCUUCUUCCCUUUUUGUCCAAAACCCUUGAACGUGCUAUCUUUAAUCAACUCUCCUCUUAUCUCCACUGUAACAACCUCCUUGACCCCCACCAGUCAGGUUUCAAGGCAGGCCACUCCACAGAGACUGCUCUCCUUGCUGUCUCUGAGCAACUCCACACUGCUAGAGCCGCCUCUCUCUCCUCUGUCCUCAUCCUUCUGGACCUCUCUGCUGCAUUUGACACGGUCAACCACCAGAUCCUUAUUUCCUCCCUUCAGGAACUUGGUGUCACAGGCUCUGCUCUCUCCCUUCUCUCGUCCUACCUCGAUGGUCGCACCUACCGGGUAACCUGGCGAGGAUCUGUGUCGGAACCUUGUCCUCUUACUACUGGAGUUCCUCAGGGUUCCGUGCUGGGUCCCCUCCUGUUUUCGCUUUACACAAACUCUCUUGGCGCUGUCAUUCGCUCGCAUGGCUUCUCUUACCACAGCUAUGCCGAUGACACCCAACUAAUUCUCUCCUUCCCUCACUCGGACACCCAGGUGGCGGCUCGGAUCUCUACCGUGUCUAACUGACAUCUCUCAGUGGAUGUCCGCCCACCAUCUGAAAAUCAACCGCCGACAAGACUGAACUACUUCUCUUUCCCGGAAAAGAUUCGCUUACCCAGGACCUGACAGUCAAAUUGGGGAACUCCGUACUAACGCCCACCUCGACCGCUAAGAACCUCGGCGUCACACUCGACAGCCAACUCUCCCUGACUCCCAACAUUGCCGCGACAACGCGAUCCUGUAGAUACACGCUCUACAAUAUCAGGAGAAUACGUCCCCUUCUCACUCAGAAGGCAGCGCAGGUACUGAUUCAGGCUCUUGUCAUCUCCCGCCUGGACUACUGCAACUCCCUCCUGGCAGGUCUCCCUGCCACCGCCAUUCGACCUCUGCAGCUCAUUCAGAAUGCAGCAGCUCGACUGGUCUUCAACCUUCCGAAAUUCUCCCACACUACUCCACUCCUCCGCUCUCUUCACUGGCUACCGGUGGCCGCCCGCAUCCAGUUCAAAACAUUGGUGCUCACGUACCAUGCUGUGAAUGGAUCGGGUCCAGCUUACAUCCAGGACAUGGUCAAACCCUACAUCCCAACCCGCACUCUCCGCUCUGCAUCUGCAAAACUACUCGUCCCUCCCCCACUGAGAGCAAAACACUCGACUAGGUCUCGACUCUUCGCUGUCCUUGCGCCGAAAUGGUGGAACGAGCUCUCUGAAGACACCAGGACCAUAGGACCCUAUGGUUGAAUGCACUUAUUGUACGUCGCUUUGGAUAAAAGCGUCAGCUAAAUGACAUGUAAUGUAAUGUAAUGUAAUGUCCCGUGCAUCGCCACUACUGCUUUUCAUCGCGGACACAUUUGUCCCGUAUUUUCCUCCAAAACUUUGCGCACCUCCCGACCGGCAAACCGGCGUUUGCGGCGAUCUCCCUCCAUGAAUCCAACCUGCUUAUACAACCCGCCAAUGACGGGUUGUAUAAGUGGUCAUAUUUACGCAUUUCUUCCGACAAAAGCUGUUCAAUCUGAUCCGUUCUCUCGUAAACAUUCUUUGUUUUGAUAAUGGCGGUAUUGUGCUAUGAAAACGGAAACGUGAGACUCUGUAAAGGAUGUAGUUAGCAGAACAAUCGCAGCCUUGUGCGCUGCGGGAGACUUGCGUUUUUGAUGUCUCAUUUCUUUUAGAAGAUUUGGACCAGUGUCCGCGUCCCCCCGUACCUCCCCUUGACCGGAACACACCCCCCCAUACCCCAUGUCCCCAUGCAUCACUUCAGUCGCCGACAAAAGGACCCUCACCAAACUGCUCACCAUCAUGGACAAUGAAAACCAUCCUCUCCACAGCACGACAGAAGAGUCUGAUCAGCAGGAGACUGCGCUCGCUGCAAUGUAGGACUGGUAUAUAUAUAAGUCUUACAUGGUAUAAAUCAUUAAUCCCCAGAGCCAUAUAACUACAAUAACACAACCCACCAACCAAAGGUACCUCACUAGAAAAACUCAGUUUUCUAGUGAGCCAUGAUUACUGGCUAUGUUAGCCUUUGCACAGCCCCAAACUUGGCUAUGUUGGCCCUUUGCACAACCCCCCUCCCCCGACUACUGGCUACUACUGGCUAUGUUGGCCAACCCCCUCCCCCCCCACUGGCUUGGAAUUGGAUUGAAUUGGAAUGAAAAUAAAUCAAGAAAACAAACUCAAAACCACCCGACGUAGUGAGGAACCCGCUUCCCAGGACACAGCAAACAAAGGGAAAUUUCUGACUGCAAAAGCGUCCUGUGUCUGCUAUCCCACUGCAAGAGUGUCCUGGUCCACGUCACUGACUGCACCAUCCCACUGCAAGAGUGUCCUGGUCCACCUCACUGACCUGCUAGGCAUAAAACGGUGCACUCUGCAUUUGCAUUUCUGCACAAGAUCACGGUAAUCAUCAAGAGAACAAGACCCAUUUAGAUAUGGAGAGAAGACUAAAUCCCUGAAGUCAAGUGCAUUGCUAUCGGUGUUCGUCACACAGAAAGGUGACCGUGUGCAUGGAGUACAGGAGGUGCGCUGGGAAGUGUACUUGAGAAAGACACCCAACCCCUAACUGCUCCCACUGUGUGGGAUGGGUUGUACAUGUAAACCAUACCUUAAAAAUGUAAACCAUCUAAUGCAAUGCAAAUGCGUCAACUUUAAUUACAUGUAAAUGUAAAUGCAAGUCGCUUUGGAUUAAAGUGUCAGCUUGAAUGACCUGUGAAUAAACUUGCCUCAACCACAUAAUACAAGGUUUCUGUAUUUGUGUUAUUGUCAUUUUUUGCACUUAGUAUUUCUUCUUUGACUUAACUUAAUAAAAUCAUGGAAAGGACUUCCUUUUGGCUUUCUUUUAGCACCAAAAAGUUAAGUUCGACCAACUCAAUUCUAUUGAGUUAAGUGAAUGUGAAUUAAUAGGUUAAAUGUAUUUAAUUUGAACUCAAUUAAAAAUGAAAAAGAAAUUAAAGUUCAAUUAACUAAACUAAAUCUAGUUGAAAAUGAUUAAGCCAUUCACUUUCAACUGACAAUACAUGGCCUGAGACGGCGGUCUCAGGCCAUGUAUUGAUUAUCGGGGCUUGAACAAGAUCACGGUGAAGAAUCGCUACCCCUUGCCCUUAAUGUCCUCAGCAUUUGAACUCCUACAAGGGACAACUAUCUUCACCAAAUUGGACCUCCGUAACGCCUACCACCUGGUCCGGGUCAAGGAGGGAGACGAGUGGAAGACGGCCUUCAACACACCUACAGGUGUCCUUUUUGGGCUUAAUCCUGUUUUCUCAACAAUAAACAGAAUUUACAGAAAUGUGACAUAAUCUGUC
ensembl:lncRNA